rnacentral:misc_RNA from 1 species
GAUGAAGAACGCAGCGAAAUGCGAUACGUAAUGUGAAUUGCAGAUUUCAGUGAAUCAUCGAAUCUUUGAACGCACAUUGCGCCCGCCAGUAUUCUGGCGGGCAUGCCUGUCCGAGCGUCAUUUCAACCAUCAAGCGCCUCGCUUGUGUUGGGGCCCUGCGGCUGCCGCAGGCCCCUAAAUCCAGUGGCGGGCUCGUCGUCGUACCGAGUGCAGUAAACAUCCUCGCUCAGGGAACCCGACGGGUGCCGGCCGUGAAACCCCCCCUCCUCAAGGUUGACCUCGGAUCAGGUAGGAAUACCCGCUGAACUUAAGCAUAUCAAUAAGCGGAGGA